AUGCGAUACUUGGUGUGAAUUGCAGAAUUCAGUGAAUCAUCGAAUCUUUGAACGCACCUUGCACUCCUUGGUAUUCCGAGGAGUAUGCCUGUUUGAGUCUCAUGGUAUUCUCAACCCCUAAAUUUUUGUAAUGAAGGUUUAGCGGGCUUGGACUUGGAGGUUGUGUCGGCCCUUGUCGGUCGACUCCUCUGAAAUGCAUUAGCGUGAAUCUUACGGAUCGCCUUCAGUGUGAUAAUUAUCUGCGCUGUGGUGUUGAAGUAUUUAUGGUGUUCAUGCUUCGAACCGUCUCCUUGCCGAGACAAUCAUUUGACAAUCUGAGCUCAAAUCAGGUAGGACUACCCGCUGAACUUAAGCAUAUCAAUAAGCGGAGGA
rnacentral:rRNA from 1 species